AUUGAACGCUGGCGGCAGGCCUAACACAUGCAAGUCGAGCGGUUGAUGGGAGCUUGCUCCCUGCUUCAGCGGCGGACGGGCGAGUAAUGCCUAGGAAUCUGCCUAUUAGUGGGGGACAACGUUUCGAAAGGAACGCUAAUACCGCAUACGUCCUACGGGAGACAGCAGGGGACCUUCGGGCCUCGCGCUAAUAGAUGAGCCUAGGUCGGAUUAGCUUGCUGGUGAGGUAAGGGCUCACCAAGGCGACGAUCCGUAACUGGUCUGAGAGGAUGAUCAGUCACACUGGAACUGAGACACGGUCCAGACUCCUACGGGAGGCAGCAGUGGGGAAUAUUGGACAAUGGGCGAAAGCCUGAUCCAGCCAUGCCGCGUGUGUGAAGAAGGUCUUCGGAUUGUAAAGCACUUUAAGUUGGGAGGAAGGGUUGUAGAUUAAUACUCUGCAAUUUUGACGUUACCGACAGAAUAAGCACCGGCUAACUCUGUGCCAGCAGCCGCGGUAACAC
rnacentral:rRNA from 1 species